rnacentral:guide_RNA from 1 species
AAAACAUCAACAGUGAAGAAUGGGACGAUAAUAAGUUAUGAU